rnacentral:lncRNA from 1 species
CAAAAAGGGCAUAGAGGGCGCUGGCAUCUCUGCAAAAGCGCCAGGUCUUAUUUAUCCACCAUCGAUGCUCGCUGUCAUGGGACCUCACACAGAUUUAAAUCAUAACAACCAAAGUCUUCAAAACCUGAAUUUUAGGUUCAAUUUCGUUUCAUUUCCCGUUUUUAAACAAGAGAGGGCGGGCACCUCACACCUCCUACACAAAUCCACAGGAGAGACCCAUUUUCAAAAAGGCUUCAGAGGUAAUCUCUGUUUUGGAACUUAGAUUUUUUGUUGUUGUGGGAUUUGUUGUUUAUGUUCUUAAUGUGGGUAUUCUGAAUUAUGAUCAAAGUGCGGACAUUUAUCUAAAACACAACGUGUGAUGUGGUGGAUAUUGCAUAAUUGAUUGGAGGCCAUGCGUGUUUCAUUUUGAAAGUUAAAUGAUUUAUGCAAAUGCAUCAUCUGGGAUCUCAUCUGAAUUUAUUAAAAUUUGGAAUUUUUCAUGGAUAUAGUAAAUCUAGAAUUGAAAUAUCCACGAAUUGAUUGAAUUCUGGUAUUAUUACUGGCAAUGCAAUCUUGGCAAAUGAAGGUCUACAAGUGAAUCAUUAAUGGAAAAUGAUAUUUACCAAUUGAUUAUUACGGUUUCGUUUUUAUUGCCAAUUGCUUAACCUGUUGAUCUGUUUAUAUGUCCUUUCUCUGUAGGGAGCUGAAUGCUUAAUUGAAUUGAUUGCCAUGGAAUUUAUUGUGCAUCAGUUGGCGCACCUACUUUUCUUGAUGGAUCUUGCACUUUUAACUCUGAAUAUCAUUCUUAUUUGAUGCCAAAUUUCGUUCUGAGUUUCAAAUAAUAAAUGAAAACAAUGCCAUCACGGGUUUUUUUUUUGGUCAAUCUAGACGAAGUUCAUGUAGCUUUGAUAAAAAAAUUUUUGGCAUCACAUCAAUUGCAAAUUUUUAUGCCCAUGGUAAUAAAAUAUCAAAUCUCCUCACAUUAGCUGAAAGUCAUUCUAUUUUCCAGAUCAAAUUAAGUGAUGGCAGAAGCUGAGGAUAUUCAGCCUCUUGUAUGUGAUAAUGGAACAGGGAUGGUCAAGGUAUCCACCUAAUAUCCAAUAACUUGUACACUAUAUCAUUCCAAUACUUCCAAUGAUGAUUUUUCAACUGCUAGGCCUUUGUGAAUUAAGAGUUUACUUUUGAAGCUUGUGAUUUAUGGUGAGAUCUCGUAAUUUUCAGGCUGGAUUUGCUGGAGAUGAUGCUCCAAGGGCAGUCUUCCCCAGUAUUGUGGGCCGCCCACGUCACACUGGUGUCAUGGUUGGCAUGGGCCAAAAAGAUGCCUACGUCGGUGAUGAGG